UCCCAUCUGUAGCAGCUCACCUUCCACCUUUUCAGGCAAUAUGUAAUUAUCAUGUCCUCAGACCACUUUUCUCUUCUCCAUCAGCUUUGACAAGAAGAUGGAUCCUCCAGUUACAGAGUACAUGUCAUUGUUCAUGAAGCACUUGCCCAACGGGAACUUAAAUAUUAAUUGUGAAAAAACAGCAUGGGACUUGACAAAACAAAGCACCCUGGGAGAGAAAUCCUGAGCCUGGAGGAUCUGACAAAGGAGCGUCUUCAUGUACCCCACACAGGGUCAUGUUACUCACCAAGGCAGGGCACUAACAUCACACCCCGUCUUUCCUCAGUGGAUAAUGAAAGGCAGUCGAGACUCUUUGCAGUGAUUUGUAAGUUUUGAAAUUUACUUACAACCACUUAAGAACAUUUAGAUCAGGAUUAUCAAUCAGUAAGUGCUUAUUUGGAAGAGAUUUGCAUGUAAGCCAUAUAAAAAUAAAAGGAAUUAAAAGCAAGCUGAA